AGCGAACGCUGGCGGCAGGCCUAACACAUGCAAGUCGAACGAAGUCUUCGGACUUAGUGGCGGACGGGUGAGUAACACGUGGGAACGUGCCUUUAGGUUCGGAAUAACUCAGGGAAACUUGUGCUAAUACCGAAUGUGCCCUUCGGGGGAAAGAUUUAUCGCCUUUAGAGCGGCCCGCGUCUGAUUAGCUAGUUGGUGAGGUAAAGGCUCACCAAGGCUACGAUCAGUAGCUGGUCUGAGAGGAUGACCAGCCACAUUGGGACUGGGACACGGCCCAAACUCCUACGGGAGGCAGCAGUGGGGAAUCUUGCGCAAUGGGCGAAAGCCUGACGCGGCCAUGCCGCGUGGAUGAUGAAGGUCUUAGGAUUGUAAAAUCCUUUCACCGGUGAAGAUAAUGACUGUAGCCGGAGAAGAAGCCCCGGCUAACUUCGUGCCAGCCGCCGCCGUAAUAC
rnacentral:rRNA from 1 species